AGUGAACGCUGGCGGUAGGCCUAACACAUGCAAGUCGAACGGCAGCACAAUAAGAGCUUGCUCUUACGGGUGGCGAGUGGCGGACGGGUGAGGAAUACAUCGGAAUCUACUUUUUCGUGGGGGAUAACGUAGGGAAACUUACGCUAAUACCGCAUACGACCUACGGGUGAAAGCAGGGGAUCUUCGGACCUUGCGCGAUUGAAUGAGCCGAUGUCGGAUUAGCUAGUUGGCGGGGUAAAGGCCCACCAAGGCGACGAUCCGUAGCUGGUCUGAGAGGAUGAUCAGCCACACUGGAACUGAGAAACGGUCCAGACUCCUACGGGAGGCAGCAGUGGGGAAUAUUGGACAAUGGGCGAAAGCCUGAUCCAGCCAUACCGCGUGGGUGAAGAAGGCCUUCGGGUUGUAAAGCCCUUUUGUUGGGAAAGAAAAGCAGCAGGUUAAUACCCCGCUGUUCUGACGGUACCCAAAGAAUAAGCACCGGCUAACUUCGU
rnacentral:rRNA from 1 species